GACGAACGCUGGCGGCGUGCUUAACACAUGCAAGUCGAACGAAGAGCGAUGGAAGCUUGCUUCUAUCAAUCUUAGUGGCGAACGGGUGAGUAACGCGUAAUCAACCUGCCCUUCAGAGGGGGACAACAGUUGGAAACGACUGCUAAUACCGCAUACGAUCCAAUCUCGGCAUCGAGGAUGGAUGAAAGGUGGCCUCUAUUUAUAAGCUAUCACUGAAGGAGGGGAUUGCGUCUGAUUAGCUAGUUGGAGGGGUAACGGCCCACCAAGGCGAUGAUCAGUAGCCGGUCCGAGAGGAUGAACGGCCACAUUGGGACUGAGACACGGCCCAGACUCCUACGGGAGGCAGCAGUGGGGAAUCUUCCGCAAUGGACGAAAGUCUGACGGAGCAACGCCGCGUGAGUGAUGACGGCCUUCGGGUUGUAAAGCUCUGUUAAUCGGGACGAAAGGUCCUCUUGCGAAUAGUUAGAGGAAUUGACGGUACCGGAAGAGAAAGCCACGGCUAACUACGUG
rnacentral:rRNA from 1 species